UAUGACAGGCUCUUUGCAU
rnacentral:miRNA from 1 species